CCUACGGGCGGCUGCAGUGGGGAAUAUUGCACAAUGGGCGCAAGCCUGAUGCAGCCAUGCCGCGUGUGUGAAGAAGGCCUUCGGGUUGUAAAGCACUUUCAGCGGGGAGGAAGGCGGUGAGGUUAAUAACCUCAUCGAUUGACGUUACCCGCAGAAGAAGCACCGGCUAACUCCGUGCCAGCAGCCGCGGUAAUACGGAGGGUGCAAGCGUUAAUCGGAAUUACUGGGCGUAAAGCGCACGCAGGCGGUCUGUCAAGUCGGAUGUGAAAUCCCCGGGCUCAACCUGGGAACUGCAUUCGAAACUGGCAGGCUAGAGUCUUGUAGAGGGGGGUAGAAUUCCAGGUGUAGCGGUGAAAUGCGUAGAGAUCUGGAGGAAUACCGGUGGCGAAGGCGGCCCCCUGGACAAAGACUGACGCUCAGGUGCGAAAGCGUGGGGAGCAAACAGGAUUAGAUACACGGGUAGUC
rnacentral:rRNA from 1 species